UGAAGGGUUAAGGCUCCCAGUAGACGACUGGGUUGAUAGGCCAGAUGUGGAAGCCCGGUAACGGGUGGAGCUGACUGGUACUAAUAGGCCGAGGGCUUGUCCUCAGUUG
rnacentral:rRNA from 1 species